rnacentral:rRNA from 1 species
CAGUCGCCGCGGGAAUACGUAGGGUGCGAGCGUUGUCCGGAAUUAUUGGGCGUAAAGAGCUUGUAGGUGGUUUGUCGCGUCUGCUGUGAAAAUCCGAGGCUCAACCUCGGACUUGCAGUGGGUACGGGCAGACUAGAGUGUGGUAGGGGAGACUGGAAUUCCUGGUGUAGCGGUGGAAUGCGCAGAUAUCAGGAGGAACACCGAUGGCGAAGGCAGGUCUCUGGGCCAUUACUGACACUGAGAAGCGAAAGCAUGGGGAGCGAACAGGAUUAGAGACCCCAGUAGUCCCUGUCUCUUAUAU